UUUCUACCAUUUAAUUCUCGCUCAAAUUUUUUGGAUAUUAAUUUCCACUCAAAUCUCCCUCCAAUUCCACUAUAUAUUUGUUUCCCCCUCAAUUCUCCCUCCAUUUCCUUGGCUUACUCAUUCGCCAUCAACAUUAAAAUGAAUAGAAAUUUUCUUUGUUGUAGUCCCUGUGUCAACAUAAUACUCCAGUACCUUGUGAUAUUGUUGUUGUUACCUUCUCCCCCUCCCACCACUAUCAGAGUUUGACCUUUGGGGGAUCAUUGACAAUGCAAGGCACAUCUGUUCUUCAAUUAACCCCCUCUUGACACUGUCACUUUUAUAGACUCCAUCAUUCUAUUCCAACACCAUUGCUAUUUCUCUACUCCAUUACCUUUGCUUAGUGAUUACAGAGUGCAUGAAUUUCAAAAGUGACAAGGAUAGGAUUGAAUAGUGUGCAAAUGUAGGCCUCAUCUCUUUCAUCCAAACCUAAUUUUUUCGUCAAUACCCGUGCAAGGGAAUUUCAUAAUGAUGCUGAUGAAAAAACUUGAUUUUUACAUAUGGUAACCAUCUCACGUUGUCAAUUUGUUAUACCCAAAUUGGGUCAGAUGUGAUUUCAGGUUGGUGUUAAUAGGUGGAUGCACAAACAGUUCUAUAAUCUAAGUCCUGCAUUACUUCCCCUCCCCUAAAAGUCGGUUUCUGGUUAAAUGUCGAUGUUGCAAGAAACUAGCAAGUUAACUGUAUGGGUAUCAAUUUCGUCUUUUAUUUCAAAAUUCAGGUGCAGGUGCCUAAGCCACUUAAGUGUAGAGUCAUUUAAAAUGCAGUGGCACCAUUGGUUGUUUCAAACAACUCAUUUUUUUUA